AGAGUUUGAUCCUGGCUCAGGAUGAACGCUGGCGGCGUGCCUAAUACAUGCAAGUCGAGCGAACGGACGAGAAGCUUGCUUCUCUGAUGUUAGCGGCGGACGGGUGAGUAACACGUGGAUAACCUACCUAUAAGACUGGGAUAACUUCGGGAAACCGGAGCUAAUACCGGAUAAUAUUUUGAACCGCAUGGUUCAAAAGUGAAAGACGGUCUUGCUGUCACUUAUAGAUGGAUCCGCGCUGCAUUAGCUAGUUGGUAAGGUAACGGCUUACCAAGGCAACGAUGCAUAGCCGACCUGAGAGGGUGAUCGGCCACACUGGAACUGAGACACGGUCCAGACUCCUACGGGAGGCAGCAGUAGGGAAUCUUCCGCAAUGGGCGAAAGCCUGACGGAGCAACGCCGCGUGAGUGAUGAAGGUCUUCGGAUCGUAAAACUCUGUUAUUAGGGAAGAACAUAUGUGUAAGUAACUGUGCACAUCUUGACGGUACCUAAUCAGAAAGCCACGGCUAACUACGUGCCAGCAGCCGCGGUAAUACGUAGGUGGCAAGCGUUAUCCGGAAUUAUUGGGCGUAAAGCGCGCGUAGGCGGUUUUUUAAGUCUGAUGUGAAAGCCCACGGCUCAACCGUGGAGGGUCAUUGGAAACUGGAAAACUUGAGUGCAGAAGAGGAAAGUGGAAUUCCAUGUGUAGCGGUGAAAUGCGCAGAGAUAUGGAGGAACACCAGUGGCGAAGGCGACUUUCUGGUCUGUAACUGACGCUGAUGUGCGAAAGCGUGGGGAUCAAACAGGAUUAGAUACCCUGGUAGUCCACGCCGUAAACGAUGAGUGCUAAGUGUUAGGGGGUUUCCGCCCCUUAGUGCUGCAGCUAACGCAUUAAGCACUCCGCCUGGGGAGUACGACCGCAAGGUUGAAACUCAAAGGAAUUGACGGGGACCCGCACAAGCGGUGGAGCAUGUGGCUUAAUUCGAAGCAACGCGAAGAACCUUACCAAAUCUUGACAUCCUUUGACAACUCUAGAGAUAGAGCCUUCCCCUUCGGGGGACAAAGUGACAGGUGGUGCAUGGUUGUCGUCAGCUCGUGUCGUGAGAUGUUGGGUUAAGUCCCGCAACGAGCGCAACCCUUAAGCUUAGUUGCCAUCAUUAAGUUGGGCACUCUAAGUUGACUGCCGGUGACAAACCGGAGGAAGGUGGGGAUGACGUCAAAUCAUCAUGCCCCUUAUGAUUUGGGCUACACACGUGCUACAAUGGACAAUACAAAGGGCAGCGAAACCGCGAGGUCAAGCAAAUCCCAUAAAGUUGUUCUCAGUUCGGAUUGUAGUCUGCAACUCGACUACAUGAAGCUGGAAUCGCUAGUAAUCGUAGAUCAGCAUGCUACGGUGAAUACGUUCCCGGGUCUUGUACACACCGCCCGUCACACCACGAGAGUUUGUAACACCCGAAGCCGGUGGAGUAACCUUUUAGGAGCUAGCCGUCGAAGGUGGGACAAAUGAUUGGGGUGAAGUCGUAACAAGGUAGCCGUAUCGGAAGGUGCGGCUGGAUCACCU
rnacentral:rRNA from 1 species